rnacentral:rRNA from 1 species
GUAAUACUCCAUAGUUCGUUAUUACUGGGAAUGUUUUUUGAACGAAAGAUCCGUCGCUUCAGGAUGAGUCUGCGGCCGAUUAGGUAGUUGUUGGGGUAAUUGCCCAACAAGCCUCUAAUCGAUACGGGUUGUGGGAGCAAUAGCCCGGAGAUGGAAUCUGAGACAAGAUUCCAGGCCCUACGGGGCGCAGCAGGCGCGAAAACUUUACAAUGCAGGAAACUGUGAUAAGGGAACCCCGAGUGCCCGUAUACGCGGGCUGUCCAGGUGUUUAAAAGUCAUCUGAAGAAAGGGCCGGGCAAGACCGGUGCCAGCCGCCGCGGUAAUACCGGCGGCUCGAGUGGUGGCCACUAUUAUUGGGCUUAAAGCGUCCGUAGCUGGACUGAUAAGUCUCUUGGGAAAUCCGCCGGCUCAACCGGCGGGCGUCUAAGGGAUACUGUUAGUCUAGGGACCGGGAGAGGUGAGAGGUACUCCGGGGGUAGGAGUGAAAUCCUGUAAUCCCCGGGGGACCACCGAUGGCGAAGGCAUCUCACCAGAACGGCUCCGACAGUGAGGGACGAAAGCUGGGGGAGCAAACCGGAUUAGAUACCCGGGUAGUCCCAGCCGUAAACUAUGCGCGUUAGGUGU